GGAUCCUGGAUGGAGGAGGGGAGAGGAUGCUGGAUGGAGGAGGAGGAGGAGGAGAGAGGAUCCUGGAUGGAGGAGGGGAGAGGAUGCUGGAUGGAGGAUGCAGAGGAGAAAUCAUGGUAGACAGAUUAAGGAUCAAAUCGGCACAGGUUGCAAUGAGAGAAAAACUGAAGAAGUUAACGGAUGACUCGUAUUUGUGUGAUGAUUUGGAGACUUUACAAAAAAUGACUGUAGCUCUGGACAAUAUGACACAAACAAUUGAACAACUGUGCAAGAGAGAGAAUGGACUGAUUCUUAAUAAACUGGAUGACAUUGUUAUGUUGAAAAAACAUGAUCUUAGGGCACUGCCAGUUCGAAAGCACAAAUCAAAACUGUCCAGAAAACGAAAAUGGACCCAAGCUCCCUUGUCGCCCCUAAUUGAACAUUGCGAGGAGACACUGGGCCACAGCUCUUCUGCUGUCCUGCACCCAAAAUCCUGAGGAUGCCAUGGAGCUCGGCAAAAAAAUCCCUAGCUAACCCUAAAUAUUUAUAUUAAACCAUUUUGCAACAGG